rnacentral:rRNA from 1 species
UACGAAGGGGGCUAGCGUUGCUCGGAAUCACUGGGCGUAAAGGGUGCGUAGGCGGUUCUUUAAGUCAGGGGCGAAAUCCUGGAGCUCAACUCCAGAACUGCCUUUGAUACUGAAGAUCUUGAGUUCGGGAGAGGUGAGUGGAACUGCGAGUGUAGAGGUGAAAUUCGUAGAUAUUCGCAAGAACACCAGUGGCGAAGGCGGCUCACUGGCCCGAUACUGACGCUGAGGCACGAAAGCGUGGGGAGCAAACAGG